rnacentral:rRNA from 1 species
UACGUAGGCAGCGAGCGUUGUUCGGAGUUACUGGGCGUAAAGGGUGUGUAGGCGGUUGUUUAAGUUUGGUGUGAAAUCUCCCGGCUCAACUGGGAGGGUGCGCCGAAUACUGAAUGACUAGAGUGCGGGAGAGGAAAGUGGAAUUCCUGGUGUAGCGGUGAAAUGCGUAGAUAUCGUCAAGAACACCGAUAGCGAAGGCAGCUUACUGGGCUGUAACUGACGCUGAGGCACGAAAGUGUGGGGAUCAAACAGG